rnacentral:rRNA from 1 species
UCCAGACUCCUACGGGAGGCAGCAGUGGGGGAUAUUGCACAAUGGGGGGAACCCUGAUGCAGCGACGCCGCGUGGGUGGAGGAGCGUUUCGGCGCGUAAAGCCCUAUCGGCAGGGAAGAAGGAGGACGGUACCUGACUAAGAAGCCCCGGCUAACUACGUGCCAGCAGCCGCGGUAAUACGUAGGGGGCAAGCGUUAUCCGGAUUUACUGGGUGUAAAGGGAGCGCAGACGGCAGUGCAAGUCUGGAGUGAAAGCCCGGGGCCCAACCCCGGAACUGCUCUGGAAACUGUGCGGCUAGAGUACUGGAGGGGCAGGCGGAAUUCCUAGUGUAGCGGUGAAAUGCGUAGAUAUUAGGAGGAACACCAGUGGCGAAGGCGACCUGCUGGACAGUAACUGACGUUGAGGCUCGAAAGCGUGGGGAGCAAACAGGAUUAGAUACCCGGGUA